GUGGCGGAACUGGUAGACGCGCUGGAUUCAAAAUCCAGUGAGGGUGACCUCGUGUCGGUUCGAUUCCGACCCUCGGUACCA
rnacentral:tRNA from 1 species